rnacentral:lncRNA from 1 species
GCCACCCUCGUAUGUACCCACCACGGCCCAGUCUGCCACCUUCCUCCAGGCAGAGCCUCCCACAGCUGCUGGAGCCUCCCCUAGGAGCUCCACUGGGGAGAAGCAGAGGUCCUCUCCUACCCCUUAGCCCUGGGGUCUGGAAUUCAACCCUCCCCCACUCUGUUCCCAGUUGCCCUCUGUUUGACAAGAGGAGCUUGGAAACCACCUCGAUCCAGUCCUCAAACUCCCCUUCCCCUGUGCCGCUCUGAAUUCCAGGCUAUCCCCACGAUAUAGCCAAAGCACCCUGGCUUGCUUUGAAAGUGUCUGGGGAGUUUUUGAUCCCCUGAAAAAAAAAGGCAUUUAUUAUCAGAGACUGUUUGUACCAUAUUUUAGUGUCCUCAAGAGACAAAGAGAAUUCUCUCUGCAGUUGAGUAAGCUUCAAAAUAGAAAAUCGGAGGGUGGGGUAGGUGACGGCCAAAAAGCAAUCAUUUAUCAACCAGCGGGGAAGCAGGGACCGUAAACCUCUUUGGUGGCUGCAGGUUUCAUCACAGCCUGACUUAUGCACCUGACUCUGGAGAGGAGGUGAGAAUGGGGUGUGCAGAAGUCAGUGGGUCCCGCAGUCUUCCCUCCUUCAGCGUUGGUGGCCACAGUCUGUCUGUGGUCACUUGCCCCCACAGCCCCCUGCUCUGCCUUCCAUUUAUCGAGACCUUUCCCUUGCAUUUGCGGAGGGGGAAGAAGCAGAGGUUAGGUUGCUGACAUUCUGCACACCCCACAACUCCCCAGAGAAAUCCUGGGGCUGAUCAGUAGAAUCCAGCCACCUUUCACUGGCAGAAGGCACAGUGUUUUUCUCCCUGGAGGUUUUUAACCUGUUACUUCAUGUAAGCCUCCUAUUGUCAAAUAGAGAGAAACUGAGGGGCUUUGGAAGCAAACAGACUUGGGAAAUUCUUGGCAAAUUCUUAACUCUAUCUCUUUGUGGGUGACCUGGGAUAUGUUCCCGGUGUCCUCAGCCUCUGAGUGCUCUUGGAAGAUUAAAUGGGAUAAACCAUGUGGAGUGACCAGUGCGAGGCCCAGCAUGUUCUAGAAGCUCAAAGGAAUGGCUACCACAAGUCAAGCCUAUUCUAGAUACCGAGGAAGUUGUCCACAGAGGGAAAAAAUUAUACCAAGAAGCAAGAGAGCCUGUUUUCUGACCCCCUCUCAGUCACUUGGUAAUUAUUAUUCCUCAAUCUUCACAUCUGAGGAUAUAACUAUUUUACCUGACUGAAGACAGAAGGGGUAUACCAGAUGGUUUCACCAAGAUCCAUCAAAUUCUAGUCAAAGAUUCUUCCAUUUUAAUUAAGCCCAUUGCUUCCUGUUUGAUCUUCUAAGGGCAGAGAAUAACAAUGUAAGCUCUGACCAUUUAAAAAAAUCAUCAUUCCUGCUCUAAUCAUCUCAAACCAUUCAUUCACUGGUCAUCCCGGGAAGGUCAACAGCAAUCUCCGAAGAGUCUGGUACCACGUCCUCCUCACAAGUCACUGCUAUAAGACUGACACUUAUCAAAAUGUCUGCCCAUCUCCACAGAGACGCUCCUAAUGUGCCUUGUUUCUGCUUUAUGACAAUGACCUUGGUUACAGCCAGUUGGUCCAGGAAUAGGCACCUGACCCAGUCUGGGCCAAUCUGGCCCCCUCUCUUGGGAAUGGUGACCAAAAGAGUCUGUCUCAGCAGAAACUGGAAAUGUAACAUAAACAGUCAUAAGCCAGGGGCCUGCUGGCAGUGCCAUGGGGGCUAAAGAACAGAAAAGGCUAGUCUACAAAGAAAGAAGAGAAUGAAAUUGAUGUCCAAGAAAACUGGAUUCAAGACACCAGAGAGAAAAUGAGCCAACCCAUUCACACUUCCAGGCCCUUUCUGAGGCAUGACAAUGUGGCAGAAUGUAUUUUCCAAUAUUUUCCAUCCCAUACGCUCUUCCAGAACCUUGCCACUGCAUCAAAAGAUGGUGUCUAUAUCCCUUCCGCCUGAAACGGUGAGCCUUUGUGACUGCUCACACUUCUAGGAUGUGGCAGAAGUGACGCUGUGUGAUUGCUGAGGCUAGAUCAUAAAAGGCAACACAGCUUGCACACAGCUCUAUCUCUUUGGACACUCAUCCUUGGAAUGGCAGCCACCAUGCUCUGAGGAAGCACAGGUCACAUGGAGCGCCCCACUUGGAGACAAAUGGAGGCCCCCCAGCCCUCAGUGCUGGCUGAGCAACCAGCAGACAGCCAGCACCAACCUGCCACCAGGUGAGUGUGCCAUCUUGAAAGCAGAUCCUCCAGUCCCAGUGAAACCAGCCCAGGUAACACCACAUGAAGCAGAGGUGAGACUUCCCCACUGAGCUCCAUGUAAAUUGCAGAUUCAGGAGCAAUAUAUGAUUGUCACUUAAAACUGCUAAAUUUGAGGUUGGUUUGUGAAGCAGCAAUAAAUCACUAGAACAAUGAUGUCUCUGUCUUCAAUUUACAAAAGACAGCCCUAUAUCCUUAGAGCAAAGCCCCCAUUCUGGCUUAAGCUAGUUCACUUGGGUUUAUUUGACCUACAACUAAAGAAUGAAAGCUAUUGAAGGCUUCUUUUCCCACUUUAAAUAGGAGUGAGAGGAGGAAAAGGAAAUUAAGGCUCUCUUUCUAAUCUGCAGCCCACCACAUGCGUUCAGGUACUCAGGGUUGAAGAAAUGUUGGAAAUGAGUUCCAGGGAAAUCAAUACAUUGCAACAGCCUUGGCAUAUAUGGCAAUGAGACUCGACCCAGUAUCCUCUCCAAGGCUGAAGAAAUGGCAGAGCAAAAAGCCAUUGCUAUACCACUCUCCUGACCUGGCCAUGGAGUAAGGACUAAAAUGAAGGCCAAUAUUAAUAUGCCGCCUUGAUAUCUGGUGAGACUGGGAAGAUGUUGCAUGGCCUAACCACAAGUUCCUCUCCCCACUCCUAUGGGAAAGAUCCCCCAGCCAGACAACCCUCCUUGGCAAAGGGACCAGGUGCAGUUCCUGCUUAUCCUUGAGUAGUGGGUUUCAUUUCUCUGCCAACUAUGGACUUAUUCAAACAAACCAAUCACAUCCCCUCAUGGAAACAAGGGGACACCUCACCCUCUUGAUACUACAAAACCUGACGCCCACAGCCCUGUUUGUUACUUCUGUACCUGCCUCAGCAUAACCCCUGCACUCAGCUGCUGUUGGGAUCAUCUGCCCAGGGUCAGGUGCUAUGUAUUUGGCCAUUGCAGUAACCUUAGUGUGGGAGUCCCCUUCUCACCCAUUGGUUGAAUAGGAGGCAAUUAAACCACUGGCCUUUCAAAAAGGUUCUGGUGCUUCCCAUCCAGCAGCCUUGGUGGUAUUGAGCAUCAGGAUUCAUUGGCUCUGCAGUCCAUUCAUUCAACAACAGUUAUUGCGUAGGUUUUGGUGCCAGGCACUGUCCUCCAGGGCCAUAUGCCCAGUUGCUGAGACCUUGUCCUUGACCUGUUGUGGACAUUAGUCAGCAACAUUUACUGACAACACACACCCACCCAAUUCCCAAUCAUUGGGAAGCAAUUGGCCUAACAAAACAGUCCUCCGCUGUGGGAUGUGUAUGGCAUGGGGCUGCAGUAAGGUCCUUGGUGCCAUAUUUAAGCUUCUACAUGUUCUAAUCCUGGUUCUUUCUUCCCCUCUAGAAGGCUGGAAACUUUUCAAAGAAGAAGAGGGUGAGUUUCUCUGACCAUAUUAGCCAUGAGCAGCCACAGUGAAAGAAUUAAUGAAUUAGUUGCCUUUGCUUAUCUUUGCCCUGGACUUCAGACCUCCUUCAGGAGCAAUGGAGGGAUCCAAAAGCCAACACUGGAAGAUGUGGAUGGUGCUUCCAGCUCAAGGACGUGGCCUCCAGCAAGUCCCUGAACAUCUUUAAGCCCUCACCUGUCAAACAGGGUUGGUGAUUACUUUUUUUUUUUUUUUUUGAGAUGGAGUCUCACUCUGCCUCCUAGGCUGGAGUGUGGUGGUGUGAUCCAGGCUCACUGCAACCUCCACCUCCCAGGUUCAAGCAAUUCUCCUGCUUCAGCACCACCCCCACCACCCCCACCCACCCCACCAAGCAGCUGGGAUUACAGGCAUGUGCUACCACGCCUGGCUAACUUUUAUAUUUUUUUAAGUAGAAACGGGUUUUUGCCAUGUUGGCCAGGCUGGUCUUGAACUCCUGACCUCAAGCAAUCCACCCACCUUGGCCUCCCAAAGUGCUGGGAUUAUAGGCAUGAGCCACCACGCCUAGCCAAUGAUCACAUUUUCCUACCUAACUCCCUGGGCUGCUGGGAUAGCAGAUGAGAAUGGGUGAGAGGUUCUUUGGAAAGUGAAGGUGGUGCUGUCCAGCAGCUAUGUCAGACUGCUAUGGUCUGAGUGUUUGUGUCCCACUACCCUGAGACAGAUAUGUUGAAAUCCCAAGCCGCAAUGUGAUGGUAUUCACCUUUGGGAAGUGAUUAGGUCAUGAGGGCUCUGCUUCAUGGGGUUAGUGCCCUUAUGAAAGAGGCCCAAGCGGGCCGGGCGCGGUGGCUCAUGCCUAUAAUUGCAGCACUUUGGGAGGCCAAGGCGGGCGGAUCACCUGAGGUCAGAAGUUUGAGACCAGCCUAACCGACAUGGAGAAACAACGUCUCUACUAAAAAUACAAAAUUAGCCGGGCGUGGUGGCGCAUGCCUGUAAUCCUAGCUACUCGGGAGGCUGAGGCAGGAGAAUCACUUGAACCCAGGUGGCACAGGUUGCGGCGAGCCGAGAUUCCACCAUUGCACUCCAGCCAGGGCAACAAGAGUGAAACUCUGUCUCAAAAAGAAAGAAAAAGAAAAAGAAAGAGGCCCAAGAGAGCUCAUUCACUCCUUUCAUCACAUGAGGACACAGCAAAAUGAUGGCUGUCUAUGAACCAGGAAGCAGGUCCUCACCAGACACCGGAUCUGCUGAUGUCUUGACAUUGGGCUUCCCAGCCUCCAGCACUGUGAGAAAUAAAUGUCUGAUGUUUAGAAGCCACCCAGUUUAUGGUAUUUUGUUAUAGUGGCCCGAAUGGUCUAAGACAGGCACCCAGUAGAAGGCAGCCCCUGUGUGUGGGUAGGUUCCACACAAAGGCAAGCCUAGCCCCAAGGUCGCCACCAACAAACCCCAGAGCCAUUUUUCCAUGGGGUCUGAAAACUGCACCAUUAGAUGCUGCUUAGUUUAGGACUUUAUAUUGGGUUGAAU